GGAAUAAACAACGUCUACGCUGUUCGUGUGACCCCAUGCCACAAUGAACCAUGUGCCCUCAAGAAAGGUUCCAGUGUUUUAAUAGAAGCUGACUUCAAAGCUCCAAUCAGUGCCGACGAGAUUGUAACGGUAAUACGAGGUAAUAUCCGAGGGAAAAAACUUACGCUGCCGGGAGGCAAGAAAGAUCCCUGUAGAGCGGGCAGUCUCACCCCACCUUGCCCAAUAAUAGCUGGCAAAAACUAUACAUAUCAUGACAAGUUAGAAGUGGCUGAUUUCUAUCCACAGGUCCCCAUCAUUGUGAAGUACAGUUUAACAGAUGUCUUGGGAGAAACGCUGACUUGUGCGGAGGUGAAGACUCUCAUCGUUAAAAACUAAAAUUCUUUAUUCCUUUCAAAAAUAUAAACUUAAUUAUUGGAGAAUCAACUGUGGUUUUGUUAAUGUCUAUA